rnacentral:misc_RNA from 1 species
UCUCCGUUGGUGAACCAGCGGAGGGAUCAUUACCGAGCUAUUCUACUCCCAAACCCCUGUGAACUUAUACCUUUACUGUUGCUUCGGCGGGUUAACGCCCCGGAAGGCCCGCGAGGGCCGCCGGAACCAGGCGCCCGCCGGGGGACCCAAACUCUUGUAUCUUUUUAUAGCAUGUCUGAGUGGAAUCAUAAACAAAUGAAUCAAAACUUUCAACAACGGAUCUCUUGGUUCUG